UCUUCGGAUGAAAUGAUGAGCCUCUGCCUUUCGGUUCUCUUGGAACAAGACGGCAGAAAGUCAUUCUGACCGUCGUGCAUACCUUAAGCGGGUCUGCCGCCUUCGUUUCUCUUUCUUCAGCGAAUGACUUUGACUUGCGCUCGCGCGCCGUACCGGCCUUUGGCCUGGCGCUCCGCGAGGGCGCGGCACGAGCCGCGACGGCCGCUUGGCCUUGCGAGACGUGCGUCUCGUUGGCGAAAGCCGGCUUGCGGCGCAGUCUAAGGGCUUGUAGCUCAGUUGGUUAGAGCGCGCGCUUGAUAAGCGUGAGGUCGGAGGUUCAAGUCCUCCCAGGCCCACCACUUCGCAAUCUGCAAGAUUGUCGGAUCUUCCUCGAUAUCUGUCGGGAAACACUAUCAGGGGCCGUAGCUCAGCUGGGAGAGCGCCUGCUUUGCAAGCAGGAUGUCGUCGGUUCGAUCCCGUCCGGCUCCACCACUUGCGCAAUCCGCAGGAUUGUCGCUUGCAGCCGCCACUUUGCGGUUUGGCGGGCGCGCAAUCCCGAAGGGAUUGUCGCGGUUCGCGACGAUCCUUACGGAUCGCGUGGAGGUGUCGAGUGGAGGUGGUGAAAAAGUCAUUCGUAAAAAGAGUUUGCGGGAAGCGUCGAGCUUUCCCGCCUGUUCUGUUUUGACAUCGUAAAGAGAAGAUUUGUUCGAACUUCAUGAGCCGCAAGGUUCGUGAUUUGUCGCGGGAGACGCUCAAUCUCCCGCAUAUGAUGGGUUUGCCUAACCGCGCCCUCGAACCGAUCUCGAGAAGCUGGUCUUUUUGUGCCAAUGACAUCAAGCGCCAAUCCCGCACAGGAUUGCGCUUAUGCGACGAUCUCUUCGAGAUCGCGCUGACGCUCAUCCCGCAAGGGAGAGGCUGAAGCGACGAUUUCUUCGAAAUCGCGCGGUGGGCAUUGGCAAUGAGAACGAUCAAGUGUCUUAAGGGCAAUUGGUGGAUGCCUUGGCAUGCACAGGCGAUGAAGGACGUGAUACGCUGCGAUAAGCUACG
rnacentral:tRNA from 1 species